AUCUGGGCGGCGGAAUUCAGGAUGACGAGCCGUCCUUGCGGCGUGCUCGUCGUUUGAUAUUUCCGUCGCCAAUCACACGCAGACGUCGCGACCUGUUCGCGGUCGGUCCCUGCUCGGAGGAGCCGCGUUCGAGUUCGCUGUGUGCGCGUUUCGGCGUGUCACACGGUGAAGGCGUGGAUCUCUGGCUGGCCGUCGGACAGUACGUUCAACGGUGUCCGGUGUCGUCGUCUCGUACGCGCGGCACCGGUACCGGUCAGCGACGAAUUCUUCGGGCCUCUUUCCGACCCGUCUUGAAACACGGACCAAGGAGUCUAACAUGCGCGCGAGUCGCGGGGUGUCGAGCGUACUUCGGUGCGUUCGUUACGUUGCGAAACCCGUACAUGUCAAAGGCGAAAUGAAAGUGAAUUGGGAAGAUGAUGUUUCGAGUACACGUUCCGCGAUCGUCGGUAUCGCGGCCGAACAUCCGCACUCCCGGGGCGUCUCAACGGCCCGUCGCCGAUGCGGACAGUCGUCUUUCGGGGCGGCUGUCGGUCAGCGACGAACCGA
rnacentral:rRNA from 1 species